UGUAUCAUUUUAACAAAAUCACCCAUUGCCCACCUAAAAUCAGUAUUCGAUAACACAAAACUAUUUUGAGGUGUCCAAAUCGAAGUUAUGUUUAUAGCAACACAAGUUGAGUUUAUUUUUGUGGUAGAUGUACGUACGCAGUGUCUCAAGUGAUAGUUUCGACGAUGUUUAAUAUUCUAAAGAAAUAAGCUUUUUCAGGUGUAAUAAGGACGUUAGUUUGAGUAAAUCUUUGUCUUGGCUCCUGCGACACGGGGCCGUUAAAGAAGGCUUACGAAUAAGUCCUGAAGGAUACAUAGAAGUUAAUCAAAUAUUGCAGCACAAGAAUUUCCGAGGGAAGUACAAUCAGUUGGUUAUUGAGAGGGUGGUUGCCAGCAAUGAUAAACAGAGGUUCAAAUUAAGAGUCAAUUCAAAUACGCAUGCAUUGGAAAUUAAAGCCAACCAGGGCCAUACUCUAACAGUAUCUGAUGCGAACUAAUUCCUAUACUGCAGCCCAUAUACAGCACAGUAAUUCAUGGAACAUAUUUAAAAUGUUGGCCAACGAUUAAAGUCAGUGGCCUGCAUCGCAUGCGCCGGCAACACAUACACCUGGCUAAAGGCACUAUCGGCGACAGCGCUGUGAUCAGUGGCUUGAGAGAAAGCGCACAGGUGUACAUCUACAUUGAUCUCCCUAAAGCCCUGGCUGAUGGAUUAAAGUUUUAUGAAUCAGAGAAUGGAGUAAUACUCACUGCUGGUGACCUAAAAGGAUAUUUGACGCCAAAAUAUUUCUUGAAGGCGGUUAAAGUCAGCACAGCGUGACGAAGCAUCAGUAGGCCGACAUAAUGAUGUCGAAUGGCAUGAGAUAGCCAUCUGUUACAAUUCGAUACUUUACCUGGACGCCAUCGUGCUUACCGUCAGUUGCAGCUUUGCCAUUCCAAGAAUAAAAAAAAAUGUAAUGGUCUAAAAUUUGUCUUUUAAUGAUUCCAAGCUCCAUAUUCU